rnacentral:rRNA from 1 species
UACGGAGGGUGCAAGCGUGUCCGGAUUUAUUGGGUUUAAAGGGUGCGUAGGUGGUUUGAUAAGUCCGGGGUGAAAUCCCACGGCUCAACCGUGGAACUGCCGGGCAUACUGGCGAUCUUGAGGCAUUCAGGGGCGAGUGGAACAAAUGGUGGAGCGGGUGAAAUGCGGUAGAUAUCAUUUGGAACGCCAAUGGUGAAAACAACAUCGCUGGGAAUGAUCUGACGCUGAGACGCGAAAGCCAGGGGAGCGAACGGG